rnacentral:rRNA from 1 species
ACACGACUACAUUAGAUACCCCCGUAGUCCUAGGCGUAAAUGAUGCGAGUUAAGUGGUGGGGGCAUCUACGAGAUGGCCCUGUGCUGUAGGGUAGCCGUUAAACUCGCUGCCGUGGGAGUACGGUCGCAAGGCUGAAACUUAAAGGAAUUGGCGGGGAGCACCACAAGAGGUGGAGGCUGCGGUUCAAUUGGACUCAACGCCGGAAAACUCAUCGGGAGCGACAGCAGUAUGAUUGCCAGGUUGAUGACCUUGCUUGACAAGCUG